rnacentral:rRNA from 1 species
GCGAACGCUGGCGGCGUGGCUAAGACAUGCAAGUCGAACGGACCGCAAGGUCAGUGGCGGAAGGGUGAGUAAUGUAUGGGUAACCUACCCCGGACAGGAGCAUAGCUGCGGGAAACUGCAGGUAAUUCUCCAUAACGUCCUCCGGUGGCAUCAUCGGAGGACCAAAGGUCCGCCGGUCCGGGAGGGGCCCAUAUCCUAUCAGCUAGUUGGCGGGGUAACGGCCCACCAAGGCUGCGACGGGUAGCCGGACUGAGAGGUCGACCGGCCACAUCGGGACUGAGACACUGCCCGGACUCCUACGGGGGGCUGCAGUAACGAAUCUUCCGCAAUGGGCGCAAGCCUGACGGAGCGACGCCGCGUGCGGGAUGAAGUCCUUCGGGAUGUAAACCGCUUUUAGGGGAAGGGAAUCAUGACCGUACCCGGAAUAAGCCACGGCUAACUCUGU